rnacentral:misc_RNA from 1 species
ACCUACUGUUUAAUUUUGAGGGUUCGUUUUUACGAAUACUCAAAAUUAGCACUUUAAGCAACAGAAUAAACUGAACGCAUGUGAAGUUUGUUUGUUGGCGCUGUGCAUUAGCACUUUAAGCAACGGAAUUUAUUCGUUGGCGCUGUGCGUUAGCACUUUGAAAACUGCAUAUAUAUAUUUAGUGAUAUGACAUCUAAUUUGUAAUAUAUAAAGCUGAUAACUUUUUAAAAUUAUCGAAGUUGAUAGCUUCUAAUCUAUCAAACCUUUUUAACUGGUCAA